GCGAAAGUAGUUUAAAUUAAAAAUGGGGUGUUGUGGGCGCAAAGAUGGGUAGUGACCUCUUUCGUA
rnacentral:tRNA from 1 species